UGAGUAACGCGUGGAUAAUCUACCCUUAAGAUGGGGAUAACGGCUGGAAACGGUCGCUAAUACCGAAUACGCUCCCGAUUUUAUCGUUGGGGGGAAAGAUGGCCUCUGCUUGCAAGCUAUCGCUUAAGGAUGAGUCCGCGUCCCAUUAGCUAGUUGGCGGGGUAACGGCCCACCAAGGCAACGAUGGGUAGCCGGUCUGAGAGGAUGACCGGCCACACUGGAACUGGAACACGGUCCAG
rnacentral:rRNA from 1 species